GACGAACGCUGGCGGCGUGCUUAACACAUGCAAGUCGAACGGAAAGGCCCUGCUUUUGUGGGGUGCUCGAGUGGCGAACGGGUGAGUAACACGAGAGUAACCUGCCCUUGACUUUGGGAUAACUUCAGGAAACUGGGGCUAAUACCGGAUAGGAGCUCCUGCUGCAUGGUGGGGGUUGGAAAGUUUCGGCGGUUGGGGAUGGACUCGCGGCUCAUCAGCUUGUUGGUGGGGUAGUGGCUUACCACGGCUUUGACGGGUAGCCGGCCUGAGAGGGUGACAGGCCACAUUAGGACUGAGAUACGGCACGGACUCCAACGGGAGGCAGAAGUGGGAAAUAUUGCACAAUGGGCGGAAGCCUAAUGCAGCAACGCCGCGUGCGGGAUAAAGGCCUUCGGGUUGUAAACCGCUUUCGCCUGUGACGAAGCGUGAGUGACGGUAAUGGGUAAAGAAGCACCGGCUGACUACGUG
rnacentral:rRNA from 1 species